rnacentral:rRNA from 1 species
CUGGAGGUAUCAGAAGUGCGAAUGCUGACAUAAGUAACGAUAAAGCGGGUGAAAAGCCCGCUCGCCGGAAGACCAAGGGUUCCUGUCCAACGUUAAUCGGGGCAGGGUGAGUCGACCCCUAAGGCGAGGCCGAAAGGCGUAGUCGAUGGGAAACAGGUUAAUAUUCCUGUACUUGGUGUUACUGCGAAGGGGGGACGGAGAAGGCUAUGUUGGCCGGGCGACGGUUGUCCCGGUUUAAGCGUGUAGGCUGGUUUUCCAGGCAAAUCCGGAAAAUCAAGGCUGAGGCGUGAUGACGAGGCACUACGGUGCUGAAGCAACAAAUGCCCUGCUUCCAGGAAAAGCCUCUAAGCAUCAGGUAACAUCAAAUCGUACCCCAAACCGACACAGGUGGUCAGGUAGAGAAUACCAAGGCGCUUGAGAGAACUCGGGUGAAGGAACUAGGCAAAAUGGUGCCGUAACUUCGGGAGAAGGCACGCUGAUAUGUAGGUGAAGUCCCUCGCGGAUGGAGCUGAAAUCAGUCGAAGAUACCAGCUGGCUGCAACUGUUUAUUAAAAACACAGCACUGUGCAAACACGAAAGUGGACGUAUACGGUGUGACGCCUGCCCGGUGCCGGAAGGUUAAUUGAUGGGGUUAGCCGCAAGGCGAAGCUCUUGAUCGAAGCCCCGGUAAACGGCGGCCGUAACUAUAACGGUCCUAAGGUAGCGAAAUUCCUUGUCGGGUAAGUUCCGACCUGCACGAAUGGCGUAAUGAUGGCCAGGCUGUCUCCACCCGAGACUCAGUGAAAUUGAACUCGCUGUGAAGAUGCAGUGUACCCGCGGCAAGACGGAAAGACCCCGUGAACCUUUACUAUAGCUUGACACUGAACAUUGAGCCUUGAUGUGUAGGAUAGGUGGGAGGCUUUGAAGUGUGGACGCCAGUCUGCAUGGAGCCGACCUUGAAAUACCACCCUUUAAUGUUUGAUGUUCUAACGUGGACCCGUGAUCCGGGUUGCGGACAGUGUCUGGUGGGUAGUUUGACUGGGGCGGUCUCCUCCUAAAGAGUAACGGAGGAGCACGAAGGUUGGCUAAUCCUGGUCGGACAUCAGGAGGUUAGUGCAAUGGCAUAAGCCAGCUUGACUGCGAGCGUGACGGCGCGAGCAGGUGCGAAAGCAGGUCAUAGUGAUCCGGUGGUUCUGAAUGGAAGGGCCAUCGCUCAACGGAUAAAAGGUACUCCGGGGAUAACAGGCUGAUACCGCCCAAGAGUUCAUAUCGACGGCGGUGUUUGGCACCUCGAUGUCGGCUCAU